CCGCCCCCGCCUGCUCCCCGCCCCCGGAGCCGACUGGUGGCUGCGGCUACCCCGGGACUGGGUUCCCUCAGACAAGAGGGAGGGUGGAGGAGGAAGCGG
rnacentral:miRNA from 1 species